rnacentral:rRNA from 1 species
UACGGAAGGCAGCAGUGGGGAAUAUUGCACAAUGGGCGCAAGCCUGAUGCAGCCAUGCCGCGUGUAUGAAGAAGGCCUUCGGGUUGUAAAGUACUUUCAGCGGGGAGGAAGGCGAUGCGGUUAAUAACCGCGUCGAUUGACGUUACCCGCAGAAGAAGCACCGGCUAACUCCGUGCCAGCAGCCGCGGUAAUACGGAGGGUGCAAGCGUUAAUCGGAAUUACUGGGCGUAAAGCGCACGCAGGCGGUCUGUUAAGUCAGAUGUGAAAUCCCCGGGCUUAACCUGGGAACUGCAUUUUGAAACUGGCAGGCUUGAGUCUUGUAGAGGGGGUAGAAUUCCAGGUGUAGCGGUGAAAUGCGUAGAGAUCUGGAGGAAUCCGGUGGCGAAGGCGGGCCCCUGGGACAAAGACUGACGCUCAGGUGCGAAAGCGUGGGGAGCAAACAGGAUUAGAUACC